CUAUAGCUCAGCUGGGAGAGCGCCUGCCUUGCACGCAGGAGGUCAGCGGUUCGAUCCCGCUUAGCUCCACCAC
rnacentral:tRNA from 1 species